CCAGAGGCGGAGCAGCGCCGGGAAGCAGCGCUGUGCCAGCCGGGUUUGGUGCCCGCGGGCAGAACCGCGAGCUCUCUCCGCGCUCAUUGUGUGCAUAAUCCUGACGCGAGCUGGGAAGGACUUAUCCCCGCAAAACCGGCGGAUAACUGGAUGAAAGGGUUACAUUAUGCAUCCCAUUCUUCCUAAUUAACUUGAUUUGUUUUGGUGGGGUAAUUAGAGGAGCGUAUUAGGUGUUCUUUAGCAACAGCGCUCGCUCUCCGGGAUUUAUCCCGGGCCAGCAGCGUCCCGUCCCGUGUCCCGGCACACACACGCGUGGUCUCUCAUUAGCUCCACUCUUUUCUCAUGCAAAUGCUUCCCGUUCUGGUUCCUUAGGAGAGGGAUCCUCUUUGUGAAGGAGUACGUGAACACCGGCGGCUUUCCAGCCUCCCCACGCUACGGAAGUGGCAGCCUUGUGGAUCUGACUGAUGUGGACAGAGCCAGCUACAGCCACCACAGUUACCUGUCCAGUGCUCCCCUGCACAGGUCCAGUGACCCCGUGUGCAGCUACUGCAGCCGCGAGAUCCGAGACUGCCCCAAGAUCAUCAUAGAGCACCUGAACAUCCACUGCCACGAGUACUGCUUCAGGUGUGGAAUUUGCCACAAAGCAAUGGGAGAUCUCCUGGAUAAAAUAUUCAUCCACCGGGACAUUGUGCACUGCGACAAAUGCUACGAGAAACUCUUCUAGGUGAGUUUG